UGGUGGAGUGAUUUGUCUGCUUAAUUGCGAUAACGAACGAGACCUUAACCUGCUAACUAGCCCGUAUUGCUUUGGCAGUACGCCGGCUUCUUAGAGGGACUAUCGGCUCAAGCCGAUGGAAGUUUGAGGCAAUAACA
rnacentral:rRNA from 1 species